CCUACGGGGGGCAGCAGUAGGGAAUCUUCCGCAAUGGACGAAAGUCUGACGGAGCAACGCCGCGUGAGUGAUGAAGGUUUUCGGAUCGUAAAGCUCUGUUGUUAGGGAAGAACAAGUACGAGAGUAACUGCUCGUACCUUGACGGUACCUGACGAGAAAGCCACGGCUAACUACGUGCCAGCAGCCGCGGUAAUACGUAGGUGGCAAGCGUUGUCCGGAAUUAUUGGGCGUAAAGCGCGCGCAGGCGGUUUCUUAAGUCUGAUGUGAAAGCCCACGGCUUAACCGUGGAGGGUCAUUGGAAACUGGGGAACUUGAGUACAGAAGAGGAGAGUGGAAUUCCACGUGUAGCGGUGAAAUGCGUAGAUAUGUGGAGGAACACCAGUGGCGAAGGCGACUCUCUGGUCUGUAACUGACGCUGAGGCGCGAAAGCGUGGGGAG
rnacentral:rRNA from 1 species